UGGGGAAUAUUGGACAAUGGGCGAAAGCCUGAUCCAGCCAUGCCGCGUGUGUGAAGAAGGUCUUCGGAUUGUAAAGCACUUUAAGUUGGGAGCAAGGGCAUUAACCUAAUACGUUAGUGUUUUGACGUUACCGACAGAAUAAGCACCGGCUAACUCUGUGCCAGCAGCCGCGGUAAUACAGAGGGUGCAAGCGUUAAUCGGAAUUACUGGGCGUAAAGCGCGCGUAGGUGGUUUGUUAAGUUGGAUGUGAAAUCCCCGGGCUCAACCUGGGAACUGCAUUCAAAACUGACUGACUAGAGUAUGGUAGAGGGUGGUGGAAUUUCCUGUGUAGCGGUGAAAUGCGUAGAUAUAGGAAGGAACACCAGUGGCGAAGGCGACCACCUGGACUAAUACUGACACUGAGGUGCGAAAGCGUGGGGAGCAAACA
rnacentral:rRNA from 1 species